rnacentral:misc_RNA from 1 species
UCGCGGCGCAUUCGCCAGAUGUGGACGCACCCUUAACAUUACACAGCGAUUAUCAGUGCACAAACGCCUUGCAUUUUUAAAUAGCAAUACGCAUUCUGCUACAAUCUUGCUCGUGCACUUUAUCUUGCAACUCGUUGCUAUCGUUUUAUUGGAAGUGUUAACUUGCUGUUAGUUUAUAUAUUUCCUUAGUGCUUUAUUACCAAAAUCUAUCGCCUUCUCUUAAAAUGUCUGACAUUAAAAGCCUUAUUAAGAAACGUGCUUCAAUUAAAGCAAAGCUUACGCAAUUUUCUUCAUACUUGAACAUUUCCAAGUCAUGUGAACAGUUGAGCGAAGUUCAGAUUGUUGAGGUUGAGUAUAGACUUAAUACUAUCGAAAAUCUAUAUGAUAAAUACGACGUGUUACAGGCCGACAUGGAAGAGAUGGUGGACGACCUUAGCGAGCAAUAUGCGGAGCGUGAGGAGUUCGAAAAGCAGUACUACAGCUUGGUGGCUGCAGCACGUCAGCUGAUCAGCAAUGCUCGCAAGCAAGCUUCAGGGAACUCCAUAGCCGAGCGCUGGUGAAUGUGUCGGAUGCUAAAGGCAACGUUCAUACUGCACGAACCCUGCUGGAUAACGGGAGUACGACUAACCUUAUGUCACAGGAGUUGGCUCGUAAACUUAACAUUUCCACCUAUACAGUCGAGUCUAAGGUAACAGGCAUUAAUGAUCAAUCCUCUUAUUGUACACAAGGUUGUUCGAUUUCAUUAAAGUCAGUCAAUAGUGAAUAUGACAUCGAUAUUGAUUGCUAUGUCGUGUCCAAAAUUUCAUCGUGUGUACCAAAUACAUAUAUCGAUGUGCACAAUAUAAAUAUACCUACCAAUAUAGUCCUGGCUGACCCUCAGUUUUACGUUCCAUCUUCUAUAGAUAUUCUUGUAGGUGCUGAAGUCUUUUGGAACGUUUAAGGUACUAGCCGUAUAGACUUAGGUAAAUCCAUGCCUACUUUAUUUGAGUCCAAAUUGGGAUGGCUGUUAUCAGGAGUCAUCAAGCAAUCAAAUUCUUCUUCUCAUUUAUGUUUGCUGGCUGAUACUUUGCAGGCAGACUUAAACCGUUUUUCUAAGCCAGACUCAGUUUCAGCAAAACAUCUCACGCGCGAAGAGCGUUCUUGUGAGGAAUUAUCUUUGAAGUCCACUUACCGUGAUGCGGAUGGACGCUUCGUAAUUAGCAUACCACUUAAGGAAUCUCCUGACAUAUUGGGUGAUUCCUAUAACAUGGCUAAGCGCCGCUUAGCAUUACCCUACACAUUAGGGCUGAACUGGAGGUGCUCAUCACAUACAUUUUCUUUCUCCAUGUCAGAUCUUUGAUUCUAUUGGCUUGGUCGUUCCUUGCAUAGUGGAAGCCAAGAUAAUCAUGCAGCAACUGUGGCUGAUAAAGUGUUCCUGGGAUGAGCCAGUUCCCGAACAUAUUCAGCAUCCACGGGACAGCUUUCAAAAUAGCUUACCUUUUUUAAAUGAUUUUAGGAUGCGUCGGUGGAUCACGUGUGAAUCAUCAUCUUCUGUGCAGUUGCAGGUGUUUACCGACGCAUCUGAAAGGGCGUAUGGUGCUUGUUUGCAUGUCCGCAGCGUAUCGCUUAGUGGUGAGGUUCAUAUACACCUUACUGCUACAAGCAAAUUAGCGCCGGUCAAGUCAACGACCAUCCCCCGACUCGAACUUUGUGCUGCGUUGUUGAGUUCAAGAUUAUACGUAAAGGUCCAGAACGCUCACGUGAACAACUUGCAGCGGUUCCGUCGCAUCGAAUGUUUAAAGCAACAUUUCUGGUCACGCUUCUCACAUGAGUACAUUUUGUGGCUCCAACAACGAACCGAAUGAACGAAAUGGCUCCGAUCGUCAGGGGAACUUACAGAAGGAACCCUUGUCGUCAUUAAGGAUAAAAGCUCACCUCCUCUGUUAUGGCUUUUAGGACGGAUCGUUAAGGUGCUUCCUGGUAGAGACGGCAUUGCACGAGUCGCCGACAUCCGCACACGUAAGGGUGUCAUUCGGCGAGCGUUCAACACUAUUUGCCCGUUACCCGUCGCCACUGCUGUUGAAGACACUUCAACGGGGGGAGUAUGUUGAGUCGUCCCACUCGCUUCAACCGCGUCCACGACAAGUGGGGGUGACUGUGACGUCGUGGCACAACAGCUCGCCGCGUAUGCGCCGAGACCAGAGGUCAAAUCAUGCUUAUGCGCACCGGCCGCGCCCACGCGUUCUUACUACUUUAAUUCUUAUUUGCUUAAUUGUACUAUAUUGUUAUAUUUAAAGUCAUUAUACGUAUUUACAUGUUAUACA